rnacentral:tRNA from 1 species
UCCGGAGUAGCUCAGUGGUAGAGCGACCGCCUGUUAAGCGGUUGGUCGUAGGUUCGAUCCCUACCUCCGGAGCCA